UUGGGAAUCCAUAUUCUACAAACCCUGCCAUUCUCAGGAAUCCUCAGGGGAAACUGGAAUAAGAUUGGCCCCUGGUCUCCCUCAGCCCGACCCUUCCCGUUGUGGUAGCAUAACCUUUUCAGGUUCCUUCAGAGCCCUCUGUCUCUUAGGGCAUUCUCUGUUCCAGUGUCCUUCCUGUUUACACCAUGCGCAUUGGUUUUUCCCUAGCUCAGGCCGGAUCCCAGACCCCAGGGAAAACUUCCCCAAUGGCCAGGGGUGGAAGCCUCCUUUUUGUGGGAAGGCUGCUGCAAGCAUAGUCACUUGCUACUUGGCACACUGGUUCUCCUUUCUCUCCUGCACUUGGUUAGAAUAGACCUUGAAGGCUGUUUCUCCCAAUGUGAAAUUCCCAUUCCCAUACUGCCUUCUACUUUCUGUAAUUUCUUUUUUUUUAUGUUGGGGGCACUUUGCCCUAUGAAUAUCGUAUUCACCAUAUGAGCAUUUUCAGGCGCCUCAGGAUCUAGAUCAGUAAAUUGUCUGAAAACCGUGAAAAUUUGUUCAAGGAAGGCAGGUCUUCCUCCCGUUUUUGUUUGAAUUCACUUUGUUUAAAUUCUUUUGUUUGGGUGCCCCAUUUUUGAGCCCAGUGAGCAAGCAGUCAUGGUACUGACUUAAUCUGGCUCAGCCGGCCUGCGUGUUUGAGUCCCAACCUGGUUCAGUGGCCAGUAUCGCCAGAUCUACUGGGGAGGGGGGUGGCCAUCAGCAUUUUACUGGUGGAGCCUAUCUCCUUCUUCACUGGCUUUUUCAAAAACCAUUCUCUCUUCUGGAGUGAGUAAAAUAUCACAUAAGGCUGGACAGUCUGCUCAAUUUGGGUAGUGGGUUUUAAAAAUAGAAGCUAAAGGAUCAUGCAUUCACUUAGGAUCCUUUCGGUAAGUUGGUAGAUUGUUUUUCCAAUUGAAUGAGUCAGAAGUCGUGAAUGGGCUGUGUACCCAGACCAUGGCUGGGGCUUCUGCUGUCCCAUCCUCACCUCCAUCUGACUCGGGGAGUUGCCUCAAUGGGUAUAGCCCUGUUGAGGGUCCUGGUGUCCCCGGACCAAAUUGGGUGCCACUGCGAGCGUGCGCCAGGAAAGCAUCUCAGCACUGGAGGCCUCAGGGACUGACGAAGGGUUUACAGGAUAAGGGGGAGGUCUAUGAUCUCUGGUUAAAACUGGGUCCUCUUUUAGAGGACUAGAUAAAAUGGGUUUUAAACCUCUGUUUGAACCAUGAAUUUACAUUAUUUCUGUAAGCUCUUAUUUUGCCACAGUGACAUUAAAGCUUAAAUAUAUAUUUCUCAUCUUACUUUUCUUCUCUAGUACAAAGAAAGCUGACUUCAGUAUGAUGAUAUAAUUAAGGAUCCAUUUUCAAGCCAGUGUUCACCAUCCCCGAGUUUGUACUGGGGACAGGUGGUAUUACAAAAAAAAUUUCAUUUUAGACUUUUUCAUUGGGUCAUACCCAAAAUAAAAACAAUUCUUCAAAAUACACUCUAAUGGACUAUGUUCCAGAAUGCUCAAAUUAUUUCCCAUGGUACCAAAAUCUGAAACUACAGAUGCCUAUUUAAAAUAAAAGUAUUUGACCUGACCUUCACUGACUAAGCAUUACUGGAAUCUAUAGUCUGUCUACUUUCUACAAAUAGGACUUAUUUCUGUACUCACCAAGGGAGACUUUUUCCUCUUCCCGGGGUGCCUGAUGCCGUUCUCUCCCCUCACAUAGCGCGCCACUGAGGAGUCCGAGGUCAGCUCCAGCCUCAAGAGCCAAAACGAGUCUUUCCCAGAGAAAGGUUACCAAUGUGCACUGGGAGAAGCGGACAGCCCCUGUCAGCUGGAGGCAGUCUCAGGAGCCUGGCAAUGCUGGUCCCAUCUGUGAUUGCCAGAAUUUGCUACCCAAAGCAGGUCCUGCCCGGUGCAGCUUUUCAUCAAUAAAGACACACUGAGAAAGAAGAGGCCCAUCGAGCUGCAUGAAGAAUGCAGGUCUCAGGUGUGGUACAGGGGGAACUAGUCCAGUCCAGGCAGCUGGAGACCUAUCUGUAAAUCGCAGGUCAAGAUUUCAACUGCUCUGACUGGUGUGUGGACCAAACAUUAUUCAUCUGCUUCCAAACUGCCCAGUGCUCUGCUUCCACCGCCAUCUGUCUUCCUGAACUGGCUUCUUUGGCUCAGAGACAAUAUUCCCUUAGACUUCUGGAAGCUAGAGAAGGAAAUGGUGAGUUCUACAGAGAACUGGGAUAUUCUUUCAGUUUGUAGGUGAGACUGUAUAUAAAUUAUUGGGGGACCAACUGUGUGCUGCGGGACUGUGGUUCCUCAAUGAAGAAAAAAGAUGGCAGAAGAGGACAAGGGACUGAGCCCUAGGAAUCAUCCUGAGGUCCUGCUCCACUGUCACUAGGCCAUUCUUCUACACAUAUAUGACUUUUCAAGAUUUGGGUGCCCGGGGUUACCUUCCUUAUGUGACUCUCAGAGCUGGCACCAUGGGGCGUUAAAUUCCCAUUCAGGGCCUUGGUGCUCCAUGUUGAAUGGCAGAGUCUCCUGACCAAAACCUGAAGAUGGUGCAGCUCUGGCUGUGGAGGCUGAGCCCUCCCUCCAGAGCCACACUUAUCCGAUUUCUCUUAACAGUUUUCUUGAUUUCCCCAAGGCACUAGCGCAUUUUCUGUGCAGUUCUAAAACUACAGGUCUCUCUCUCACACAGCACUAUGGGUUAGAAAAGUGGGGAGAGAGUUCAUAGAGAAGGCCCUGAUUGUUUAUGGGGUCCUGAGUGAUGUUGGUGCUUUUCUGACAUCACCAAAGGUAUGAAGCUGUGGACAGUGAGUCCAGCUAGAGCUUGUGUGAGAUCUCCAGACAGAUUUUCCACCCAGUGGGGAAUGUUUUUGCCUUGAGGCUUUCAGAUGUGUGGAAAGCAUGAAUCCCCAACUAAAACAAUUCUCGAAGCCAAUUUUUCAAAGAUUAGACUGGACUAUAGGACAUAAAAUGAUACUGAUAAAGAUUAUGCUUUUUAGCUCAAGUAGAUACAUGAGACUAAAUGGGCAGCUCCUGUCCAGAGGUGAGAUGAG